UUUUUGCUUUGUGCAUACCCUGCUAACACACGACGUAACAGUUACGUAACGUAUUGGUAAUUUUUGGUAAUUCCGUGACUUACCAAUUGACAACGUAACUACGACGUCGCAUGCCCGUAAUUUUAUUACCAUCACAUUACCAACUCGCAACGUCGUCAGUACGUCCUUCCAACGUGACCAGAUAACCAAGAACGUCCCAGAUAGGUUCUCUAUUCGUAAUAUAUUGGUAACUUCAUGACUUACUGGCAACGUAACUACGACGUCGUUUGCACGUAAUUUCAUUACCAUAACUUUUGUUCUUUAUAUGCUUUCUGAGUAUAGUGAUAUUUAAAAAGUGUAAUUAAACUUCAGACACAAGAUUAAACGUUCCUUAAAGAUAAAAUGUGUUUCUUUUCACCAAGUCAGAAUAUGGACAUGCUUUUAAUAUAUAAUGACGUGACAUACAGCGCGCGCGCUUCCACAGCUGACACACCGCGCGCACAGUAUACUGACAAGAAAGGAAAUACAUUUUUUCUGAGUUGUGAAACUUUCUAUUUCGUAAGGAGUUAUGAACGUGAAAUAAUGACACAGACUGGCUAUACCAUCUCAUCUGCCGCAGAUACUGUAUCAGGAGGACAGCGCGUUUGUUUGAGGCACUUUUCACUUCAACUGUGUCUGACCGGAGAAUUAGCUUUUCUGAGCCUAUUAGCCGUUGAGAGUUACCAUGGCAACCGCGGACACAUCAGCUGCUGGAGAGGAGAGGACGCGUCUGACACUUUCUCUGUUUCUCGUCAGUUAUACCAAAGAAAAGUUCAACAACUGCGACAGAUUGCUUAAUUUGUUUAUUUCUAAUAAGGAGCUGGAGGCCGUGGAGAAGCAGAUCCGUGACCUCGUGGAGAAGCAGGCUCAGCUGAGAGAGCGGAGAGCCGUGAUGGAAACAUUCAGGGGUUGAUGCUCAUAAGUCCAGUGUAAGUAUACAGCACGCUGCUAACUCUCCCACCACCUCUACUCUGUGUGGUUCUCUGCACAGGCCCGGUGUACCCAGGACGCAAUCUUCCCAGAUGUCCUUCACCCUGUGCCACAGCGGAAGACAUGAGCCAGGUCCUGGGGGACAACCUCUCUCCCCCCGUCGCCUCCGGUCUUCGGGAACUCCACUGGAAUCCGAUUUCCUCCACUUCACGAGACAGAACACGACUCUGUGUUCGUCGGAGACUCCAUCAUCCGGCAUAUUCGUGCUAUGUUAGCUGGAGGUAAUGUGCACACUCACUGUUUCCCUGGUGCUCGUGUUCUUGAUAUUUCUGCGCAGAUACCCGUGAUCCUGAAGGGUGAAGAGAGCAUCGGAGCGGUCGUGCUUCACGCCGGGGUUAACAACACCAAAGCUGCGGCAGACGCAGACACUAAAGAGGGACUUCAGGAGCCUGAUCGAGAUGGUGUGCAGCAUAUCGCCUGCACGAUGAUCAUCAUCUCAGCACCUUUUCUCAUGUAUAGAUGAGGACACGAAAGGUUCAGUAGAGUUUUUGCUCUAAAUGAAUGGUUAUUGUCAUGGUGUAAAGAACAGAAACUGCUCUUUGUUAAUAAUUGGAAUCUUUUCUGGAAGCGUCCUAGGCUUUUUCGCGCUGAUGGCCUGAACACCAGCAGAGUCGGAGCGGAGCUGCUCUCGGACAACAUCUCCAGGACUCUACGCUCCAUUUGACUAGGCAGUUUGUGAAGACAGAUAAUCAAGAGAUGUGACAAACUGUACAGAAGUCAGUUCCAGAUCCACCCUCCACACCAGACCUCUCUCAUAUGGACUGCUGUCUACUAGCAUACUUCGGUGGAUGCAGAUAUUACUCAGGGACAUGAACACUUGAAUAUUGCAAGCAUAGAGAAAGUAAGAAUUACUGAAGAUUUAAGAAUUUAAUAUUAAUUGCUUAAACAUUAUAUAUACUGUUUUAGCAAUUAACAUUAAUAGUUUUUUUUUUGUUUGUUUUUUUGGUGUCCAAAGCACCUAAAAGCCAAUUCACACCGCCAUACUCCAGCAGUUCAAACAAAAUAAGCAUGUUUUUUAAAUAGUUUUUUUGGCAGUGUGAACUGGCCAUAAUGCUGUAUGUUAGGUGUGAGAUUCAUUAAACCUGAUUUGCUAUAAUACAUCUGUUCAUAAGAUAUUGCAUAUGAUUUUCAGUUAAUUAUUUGUAGUGGUUUGGUUAAGGGUGCGAUUAGCUGAUGUAUUAUUGUGGGAGCAUGUGAUUAGUUGAUGUGUGCAUGGUUAAUGAUGGCUCUCUUAAAUAUUUAAAUGCAAUGGGCUGAGUGCCUACUAAGACUUGAAUAUUUGUGCAUAAUGUUUUGAUCCUGGAUGCUUACAGAAGGAUAUAGAUAUUUAAAUAUAUGGACAUUUAUUUAUUAUUAAUAUAUUUUAAUCUAUGUGCUUCUGUAUGGGCUGAAUGCUUUCAUUCAUAUUUUGCUGUAUAUCCUAUGUUUUUAUUAAUAAUUUGGGUGUAUUACUGGUCAUAUUUGUUUGUUAAUAAAUGAACUGAAUUCAUUUCGAGUCUGUAUUCAUCAUUCACAGCUGCUGAAACAGCCUUUAAAUUAGUUUGGGCAUAUGAGGACAUAAAUUAGAUUAAACUACUGCAUGUCCGCCCAUAAAAAAUAAAUAAUUAUCAAAAAUUACCAACUGAUUACCAGCACACAACUACCGAUUCGCGACGUUGCCACGACGUCGCAGUUACUUACUGGCAACGUCACAAAGUUACGUUGUGGCGAC
ensembl:lncRNA